rnacentral:rRNA from 1 species
GAUGAACGCUGGCGGCGUGCCUAAUACAUGCAAGUCGAGCGAACAGACGAGGAGCUUGCUCCUCUGACGUUAGCGGCGGACGGGUGAGUAACACGUGGAUAACCUACCUAUAAGACUGGGAUAGCUUCGGGAAACCGGAGCUAAUACCGGAUAAUAUAUUGAACCGCAUGGUUCAAUGGUGAAAGACGGUUUUGCUGUCACUUAUAGAUGGAUCCGCGCCGCAUUAGCUAGUUGGUAAGGUAACGGCUUACCAAGGCAACGAUGCGUAGCCGACCUGAGAGGGUGAUCGGCCACACUGGAACUGAGACACGGUCCAGACUCCUACGGGAGGCAGCAGUAGGGAAUCUUCCGCAAUGGGCGAAAGCCUGACGGAGCAACGCCGCGUGAGUGAUGAAGGUCUUCGGAUCGUAAAACUCUGUUAUUAGGGAAGAACAAAUGUGUAAGUAACUAUGCACGUCUUGACGGUACCUAAUCAGAAAGCCACGGCUAACUACGUG